rnacentral:lncRNA from 1 species
CCUCUGUCUUCCUCCCCUUCGCCGCCGUCGGUGAGGCUCCCUCCCUCUCCACAUAUCUCUCUCCCUCGCUAGUCCCCUCCCCGCCGCGCCAAGUGCCGAUGAGCUCGCCGCCGAUGUCGCGCCGCCCGCCGGCCAAACAAGCCUACACAAGGCUCUGCCGGCUCAAGAAAGAAGAAAGGGAUAAGGCAUUUUGCAUUCUAGCCCUUGGAGUUUCUGUUUAUUUAUGUUCUUAUUCCUUGUGUCUUGCUAAUCUUGUAGAGAAGCCCCUGUAGUUCUUAUAUACUUUCUUUUCAACCCGAGCCAUGUAAUCUUGCAUACCUAACCCUGUACCUUUCUGUAUUCGCAAGCACUGUUCUCU